rnacentral:tRNA from 1 species
GGCAGGAUGGCCUUGUGGUUAAGGCACUAGAUUGUGACUCAGGUGACUUGAGUUCUCUUCCUGACUCUGCUA